GACGAACGCUGGCGGCGCGCUUAACACAUGCAAGUCGAGCGAGAACCGGGGCUUCGGCCCCGGGGACAGCGGCGAACGGGUGAGUAACACGUGGGUAAUCAACCCUCGGCACCGGGAUAG
rnacentral:rRNA from 1 species